rnacentral:rRNA from 1 species
GACGAACGCUGGCGGCGUGCUUAACACAUGCAAGUCGAACGGAAAGGCCUGCUUUCCCUUGUGGAUUGCGGGUACUCGAGUGGCGAACGGGUGAGUAACACGUGAGUGAUCUGCCCCCAACUUGGGUAUAAGCCUGGGAAACUGGGUCUAAUUCCCGAUAGGACUGCAGGGUGGUGCCUGUGGUGGAAAACGAUUUUCUAGUGGUUGGGGAUGAGCUCGCGGCCUAUCAGCUUGUUGGUGGGGUAAUGGCCUACCAAGGCGGCGACGGGUAGCCGGCCUGAGAGGGUGGACGGCCACAUUGGGACUGAGCUACGGCCCAGACUCCUACGGGAGGCAGCAGUGGGGAAUAUUGCACAAUGGGCGGAAGCUUGAUGCAGCGACGCCGCGUGGGGGAUGACGGCCUUCGGGUUGUAAACUCCUUUCGACCGCGAGGAAGCCACCUGGUUGGAAGGGUGGUGACGGUAGUGGUAGAAGAAGCACCGGCUAACUACGUG